CCCAACUCAGAAUCGUACCUGGAGAGUAUCCAGUACUCUACCAGUCUCGGCUUCCAGAUGGAUGGUUAAGCAGAGGUAUACACAUUCCAUUCCUAGCUCGUGCAGUGGCUAGCGGGUGGAAGACAACCUGCUACAAGU